AACUUUCUGAAUCCAUGUUGAGACUUCGUCAGAUACCAAUCAGUACUGCUGAGACUCUCGAGAUAAGUGAAGUG
rnacentral:pre_miRNA from 1 species